rnacentral:misc_RNA from 1 species
CCAAAAGCCGAAUUUUCCUGCCAAGCUUCCUAACCUUCAAUCCCUCUCUUUUUCUAUAUAAGCCUCCCAUUCUCAUACAGUAGUAGUUGUCUCCAUAGAAGCUUUUGUGGAAGAUGGAUCAGAGGAUUUUUGGCAAAGAAGAUAGGAGGAUUAACAUGGGUUUCCCAGUUCACAGUCAAGUGAUUAAGAUCAAGCAAGAAUCGAAUAAAAUCGUGGAUUCGUCUCCAGGGCAAUUUGAGAUGAGACCUGUUCUCAGAGAUAUCACCGGCGGCCGUCAUCUCUCUCGCUCUCCUUUGGGAUUAAACACUAGAACGGUCUCUGUUGGCGAUUAAUAGAAUCGAAUUUCACUUUUAUUUGUGGAGACCCUUUUCAUUCUAUCUAGUUCCAUGCUAGAUCCUCUGUUUUCUUUUUUUUAAAUCUAUGUUUAAAUAUUAUUGUAUGUUAGGCUGCUUCUUCUUCUUCUUCUUGUGUAAAUAUUUGUUUUGUGGAAGUUGAUGGAGAGGUAAGAGGAUGAUAUGGGGCUUUGUUUUAUGUGCAUUUACCCAUAAUUUCUCAAUUUUUGUGAUGAAUUCAUACAGUCUGAUUUUAU